CUUUGAGGGAGAUGACAGGGUAAAGGGUGACCAUUGUGUGGAUGAGAGGAAGGUCUCAAAUGAAGAACACAAGGAAUUGAGAGCUGGAGUAUAGCUAGCCCCUAUAUAACACUAUUAAGUAGAGAAAGCUCCCGAGACCCAUUGGCAGAAUGAGUGCUGUAGAAUAGAGGGGGAGAGUGGUAUAGCAGGGGUGAUGUAACUCUCCAAGUGCCUCAGGACCCAGGUAGGUAGAAGAGUGGGAUGGUACAGAUAAUGAAAGAUGUUGGGUCUCAUUUCUCUUGUGUCUUCCCAUCUCUAUUUCCAGAUUGAUGUGCACCUCCGUGAUGCCCUUGGUCGGCCCCAUCAAUGUGGGACAAUACAGCUUGAUUUCCAGCUACCACUGAGAUUCAACCUGCAGUACAAGGGGCAGGCAGGGGCCCUGGAGUGUCCAGUUCUCAUUCACCGAGCAGUGCUUGGUUCUGUGGAAAGGCUGUUGGGAGUGCUGGCAGAAAACUGUGGGGGAAAAUGGCCACUGUGGCUGUCUCCAUUCCAGGUGGUGGUGAUCCCUGUGAGGACAGAGCAAGAGGCCUAUGCCAGGCAGGUGAGGAGUUGAGCAGAAGGGGAGAUGCGGAGCAGGAACAGUAGGAUCAGUACAGGGUUGGAAUAGGCUGUUCAGGGUAGUAGGAAGAGCUUGAGUGGCAGCUACCAUAUGUGCUGAAAAAUCUGUAUCUAAAGAAUGAAAUUAAUCUUGAGGUGUGUGAAAAGUAAACAGAUUAACAAAUGUUUGCUAUUUCCCAACAGAGCGCUUUGCACAAAAGUGAGCUUAUCUGAAUGUUGAUUCUAUUUUUCCUUUCUAAAGAGAAUUUCCUUUCUAAAGAGCCAGGUGUGGUAGCUCAUAUUUGUAAAACAAGCAAUUGGGAAGCUGAGGCAGGAGGGUCACAGAUUUGAAUCCAGCCUGGGCUACUUAGUGAGACCCUAUCUCAAAAAAUGAGGAUGUGGGGGCUGCAGAAAUAGCUGAGUGGUUAAGAGUGGCUGCUCUUCCAGAAACCUGGGUUCUGUUCCUAG
rnacentral:lncRNA from 1 species